UUUUAAGAUGUUUAGAGAACAAGUACUUUAUUAUCCAAAUAUUUUGAGAAUUCCCCUAAUUCAGAAUGACAUAAAAUAACAAACAUUUGUACCACUGUGGGAUUCUCCAGGCAUAUUCUGUUGAGGCCUCAGUUAAGGACAGAGAAGGUUUUCUUUUUGGUUGGAGUUGGAUUAUUCCAGAUUAAACAUCCAUUGAGAAUGCUAAGGCCCAUUACUUUCUGGAAAAUAGGGCUCAUCCUGGGACUUUAUAAGACAAUAGUGAAGGAGAACAACUUAUUGUCCAAAUAAAUUUUCUGAACAAAAAAUACAAAUCCCUUCCAGAAGCAAGCAGUGGUAGGAAUUCAUGGCGGUACUGCCAGGUAAUGCAAAUUAGUGCGAUUCGAGUGAGCCUUCUGGGGUCAGAUAAAACAAAUUUCUGCUCCCUGAACCACCACUGCACUGUGUACAUUAUUGCUUGCUGAUGAUCUUGCCCAGGGAGCUAUUGCAGAGAAGCAGCCUGUUUGUAUUCUGGCUGUUGGGAAAGCCUGGAGAGAAGACCACAUGAAAAACCUUUCAAGGUCUUCUCAGAGAACACAGAAUGCACAGGACUGACAGGCUCUGGCCAAGAAUGGUACAACACCUGGGAAGGAACUGUGUAGAGGGAGAAUAGCAAAACGAGCCCUUUUUGAUUUACGCAUUUUGACUGUGCGUUACUGCUGCUCUUGUCUUUGGGAAUGGAACUCAACUGACUGUGGAGCCAAACAUUUCAGAAAGUUCUGUCCCUCAGGUCACUGUGAUAAAAUCAAAGAAAUUGAAAGAAGGGGGAAGCACUGGAAAAGCAGCUUGUUUGGCAAGGAACUUCCUUACAAAGAACAUCAGCUUGGAGAUGCCUUCUCAGGAGGUCGUAUAUGAGCAGAGCACAUCCAUUUGGACAUCAGAGGCAUUGUACAACACAAUUAAAGUGGUCAAUGUGACAAAAGACACAGAGGUGACCUGCACGGCCAAAUCCCACAACAGCACAAUUACAACACAGCCAGAAGAAGAGGCUGAAGAGCCGGUAACAGGAGCCAGUGACAGGGUUUGCAACAGCACAGACCCCUCAGCACAAGACCCUGAAGGGCAGAGAGUGAACAUGCUGUCCAUGGCUGUGCUGGGUUUGAGAGUCCUGCUGGCAAAGAGCAUCGCCUUCAAUGUCCUCAUGAGUAUCAAGUUGUUUCUUUUCUGAGACAUGGGGAAUGAAGACAAGACGAACCCAGAGAAGAUCAGGAAAGAACGUGAACCAGCAGCAAAAGGGGCUUGAAAAAGCAGGGGCAGAGCUGCUGACAGAGACCAGCCAGGACACAAGGCAGCACCUUCCCCUGAAGACACUGAAUGCUGUUCACUCCUGCCUGGCCAGCUGAUUUACACUGAAGACCUUUAAGUGCUUUUGCUGUUUCCUCUCCUCUGCCAACUUAGGAGAGUGGAUUUAUCCUCAUCCUCCUGCUAAGUAGAUCUCCCCACUGUUCUGGCAUUUGCACACAAGUCUCCAACCUGCUUCAAUAGCUUUGAAGACUCCAGUGCUCACUCUAGAUAGAUGGCCUUUGAAAAGCACCUUUCCCAGAUAUGUUGUGUUAUUGCCUGUGGAACUGGAGUAGCACUGCUGAGGGAGUUCAAGCCCUGUAGUCGGCAUUUGUUAAAUAGAAUUCAUAACAAUAAGAACGAAUGGCAGAUGAGAAGAGCUUUGUAGGACCGGAAGUGAUUUAAUUCAUCCAGAUAAUGUUAAUUUGUUUAUUAACACUCUAUUACAUCUUCCAAAUGUAUUGCACCUGCAUUUUAGGUUCCUGUAGUAGUGAUAAAAAUAAAGCUGUGCUAGGCCACAA